AACGGAGUUCGUCUCUUCUCUAUGUGCGACGGCAAGGCGGUGACGUUUGCGAUUCUUCUGGCGACACUGAAACGGUCGGAUUAAUGGCACAGUAUAAAUAUAUGUGAGAUCCCUCACCCUUCCAUGCUUCUCUUAUAUGUGAAAUUCAUCACUCAAUACUUAUCUUCUCCCCUUCUAGACGGUGAAAAUUCACCUAAAAAGGUAUGUCUUCUUCCUAUAAACAUCUUCCUCAC
rnacentral:lncRNA from 1 species